CAUGCUUUGGAAUGAGAAGAAAGCAGCAGUCAUGUAAGGUCUUGGGGCAGCUAGGGCCUGCAGCCUCCACUAUGGGCGGGGGCUGAGGAGGUUGGUAGGGGCUAGCUGAUACAGGCUACUAAGUUUAGGACAGGAGGAGAAACGUUGAUAAUAAUUGAUGAGGGCAUGCUUUUCUAGGCAAGAGAUUCUGCACCCAGUAAUUGUGUCUAUCCAGCAAGUUCUAAAAUAAUAAAGCUGUCUGUCUGUCCUUUAUCUGUAUUCUAGGGCCUCUGGAGUAGGCUGGUGUAGUGGUCAACUCCUGGAGCAUAAAGUGGAUAAAGAGAGAGGCCAGGUUGGGGCUGGUGGCAGCUGAUGGAGCUAAGGUUGCAGAGCCAAGCUGUUGGGAGGAGCUGAUAGCUCCUGGUCUAAGGUGGUAGCUUGCUUUUAAAACUACAUGCAAAAGGAUGUUUUGCUAAAGUAGACACAUGAAAGAAUGAUUUCCUCAAACAGUCACAGGUGAAAGGAUGUUUUGCUAUAGCAAACAUGUAAAAGGACUUGUGAUGAAGGAAUUUAAAUAUGACCCCACAGACACUGGGAGCUUUGGUUUGCUCUGCUUCACUAACCUUUGCUAAUGACACGCAUGUAUUGGUUCAUCUUACAUAGUGUUGUUGUGCUAAACUUGUGCUAAAGAUAUUGAGAGAAACUCGCCCGCUCACAAGGUUCCUGCGGUAGCUUGUCACUCAGGCUGGUUGGUGAGCCUGGCAGUUUCUUCAGGGUUGAACUGCCCUUGCUGGUUCAUGUGUGGUGAGUGGACUGGACUACAGCAGCUGAUUGUUAUUUGGUGUUUGCUAUGGGACUGAACUGCUGAGAUCCUGGCAAUGAAGAUUGGACUCGCCCCAAAGAAUUAUUGCUAACCAGGUUUAUUUCCUCCAUGUCCUAAUAACUUGUCUCUUUCACUACCUCUGGUGGGUGGUAGGCUAGGAGAGACUAAGUGCUUAUUAAAAUAGGUUGAAAAAAUUUAUGCCUACAUAUGGUACCAAAGGCAGCACCCAGGCCCUGAUACGUAUUAGGCAAGAGCUCUAUCACUGAGUUACAUCCUUACCCAGCCUUUGUUUUUUGAGACAGGACCUCACUAUGAAUCUUCAAAUUUCUGGUCCUCCUGCCUCUGUCUCCUGAAUGUCAUGAUUAUAAGUAUGCACAGCUAUGCCAUUAAAACCAUAGUUUAUUAAGGUUAUAUAAUUAAAUCACUGAUUUAAUAGGACAGCCUAAAAAUCUUUUUAAAAGAUUUUUAAAUUAUUAUUUAUAUGGUGUGUGUCCGUGGGUAUGUACAAGUGAGUAUAGGUGCCCUUAGACUCUAAGGCUUAAAGGCUAGAAGCACCAGGUCCCCUGGAGCUUGAUUAACAGAUAGUUGUGAGCUGCCUGACAUAGAUAGGUGUUGGGAACAGAACUUGAAUCCUCUGGAAGAGCAGCAAAUGGUCUUAACUGCUGGCUCUCUGGCUCCUUUUGAAGAUACUUUGUUUUUGAGACAGGGUCUCACUGGGUAGCCUUGGCUGGCCUGGAACUUGCAAUGUAGACCACCAGACUGGCCUCAAACUCAGAGAUCUACCUGCUUCUGCAAGUGCUGGGAUUAAAGGCAUUCAUCCUUUACCAUGCCUGAUCCUUUAGCAGAUACUUUAAAAGAAAAUUUCUAGCCAGAUUUGGUGACACACACCUGUAAUCCUGAGACUCAGUAGCAAGAUUUGGAUAUGAGGUAACCAAGGAAAUGGAAGCUAUUAUCUUGACACUGUGUCUAUGGUGAAAAUGUUGUUUUGUGGGUGAACAUUCUGAAACUGCGGUUAGGUUAUUCCCACUGUAUUAAAACUAAGGAGAGGGAGGACUUUCCCAAUUUGCCACAUAUGUGAACUAAUAAAAAGGUCUAUAAGGACCCAGGCUUC
rnacentral:lncRNA from 1 species